AUGAGCUUUUGCCGCCUAGAACCCCGGGACAAUGGCGUCUUCGUCCUCACAUUGGCCAGCGCCGAUGAGCACAACUACCUGACCGACGAAGCCAUCACGGAGCUUGCCGAGGAGCUCGAGAAAGUCCGGAACAGCCCGGAGGUGAAAGGAUUGGUAACGACCUGCGAAGUCGGCACAUUCUGCGCCGGCCUGGACUACGACCACCACGCGGAGUCGGAGGAGCAGGCGGAGAACCUGGCGAAACGCGUCGCCAAGGUGAUCCGGCUGCUGCUGGAGCUCCCAGUGCCAACCGUGGCGGCCGUGCGCGGUGACGCGAGGUCGGUGGGCCUCGCGCUGGUGCUCGCGCACGACCACCUCUUCGUAUGGGACCAGGCCGUGUUAGGCCUCCCAGAGGCGCAGCGUGGGCGACCGCUGCCGGACUAUGUGCCGACGCUCCUGCGUGACAAGCUGUCGCACGCGCGGCUGCGGAAGCUGCUCAUGCUCAACUCGCAGACGUGCACCGGCAAGGAGCUCACCGGCACGUGGUUGUCCACGGACGGCGCAGACGGCAACAGGCAGGUGGUUCUGGACAAAGCCAUCGACCUGCUACACGAUCUCCAGGUCGGUGAUGGGGCUAAUUUCGCCAAGGCGAGGCAGAUGCUGUGCGCGGAGACCUGCGCCGCAGUGGGAAUCACUCAUGCAGAGCUAGGGAGCCAUAAAGCAGCGGAUCCAUCUUGGACAUUGUUUAGAACAAAAAUGGAUGACCUAGUUCUCAAAGAAGAAGAAGAAGAAGAAGAAGAAGAAGAAGAACAAGAACAACGGUCAUACUCUACGCGUAGCUGUUCUAUGGGAUCUUGA
rnacentral:rRNA from 1 species